AACGAACGCUGGCGGCAGGCCUAACACAUGCAAGUCGAGCGGACCUUUCGGGGUCAGCGGCGGACGGGUGAGUAACGCGUGGGAAUAUGCCCUUCUCUACGGAAUAGUCCUGGGAAACUGGGGGUAAUACCGUAUACGCCCUUUGGGGGAAAGAUUUAUCGGGGAAGGAUUAGCCCGCGUUGGAUUAGGUAGUUGGUGGGGUAAUGGCCUACCAAGCCGACGAUCCAUAGCUGGUUUGAGAGGAUGAUCAGCCACACUGGGACUGAGACACGGCCCAGACUCCUACGGGAGGCAGCAGUGGGGAAUCUUAGACAAUGGGGGCAACCCUGAUCAAGCCAUGCCGGGUGAGUGAUGAAGGCCUUAGGGUUGUAAAGCUCUUUCAGCUGGGAAGAUAAUGACGGUACCAGCAGAAGAAGCCCCGGCUAACUCCGUG
rnacentral:rRNA from 1 species